rnacentral:rRNA from 1 species
UACGUAGGGUGCAAGCGUUGUCCGGAAUUAUUGGGCGUAAAGAGCUCGUAGGCUGUUCGUCGCGUCGGCUGUGAAAUCCCGAGGCUCAACCUCGGGUCUGCAGUCGAUACGGGCGGACUGGAGUUCGGCAGGGGAGACUGGAAUUCCUGGUGUAGCGGUGAAAUGCGCAGAUAUCAGGAGGAACACCGGGGGCGAAGGCGGGUCUCUGGGCCGAUACUGACGCUGAGGAGCGAAAGCGUGGGGAGCGAACAGG